rnacentral:rRNA from 1 species
CCUACGGGAGGCAGCAGUGGGGAAUAUUGCACAAUGGGGGAAACCCUGAUGCAGCGACGCCGCGUGAGUGAGGAAGUAUUUCGGUAUGUAAAGCUCUAUCAGCAGGGAAGAAAAUGACGGGAACUGACUAAGGAACCCCGGGCAACUACGUGCCAGGAGCCGCGGUUAAACGUAAGGGGCAAGCGUUAUUCGGAUUUAAUGGGUGUAAAGGGGGCGUAGACGGUUAUACAAGUCUGAAGUGAAAACCCAGGGAUUAACCCUGGGACUGCUUUGGAAACCGAUUAGCUAGAGUGCAGGUGAGGUAAGCGGAAUGCCGAGUGGAGCGGUGAAAUGCGUAGAUAUUAGGAGGAACACCAGUGGCGAAGGCGGCUUACUGGACUGUAACUGACGUUGAGGCUCGAAAGCGUGGGGAGCAAACAGGAUUAGAUACCCGUGUAGUC